rnacentral:rRNA from 1 species
ACGGGUGAGUAACACGUGGGUAACCUACCUAUAAGACUGGGAUAACUCCGGGAAACCGGGGCUAAUACCGGAUAAUAUUUUGAACCGCAUGGUUCAAUAGUGAAAGACGGUUUCGGCUGUCACUUAUAGAUGGACCCGCGCCGUAUUAGCUAGUUGGUAAGGUAACGGCUUACCAAGGCGACGAUACGUAGCCGACCUGAGAGGGUGAUCGGCCACACUGGAACUGAGACACGGUCCAGACUCCUACGGGAGGCAGCAGUAGGGAAUCUUCCGCAAUGGGCGAAAGCCUGACGGAGCAACGCCGCGUGAGUGAUGAAGGUCUUCGGAUCGUAAAACUCUGUUGUUAGGGAAGAACAAAUUUGUUAGUAACUGAACAAGUCUUGACGGUACCUAACCAGAAAGCCACGGCUAACUACGUGCCAGCAGCCGCGGUAAUACGUAGGUGGCAAGCGUUAUCCGGAAUUAUUGGGCGUAAAGCGCGCGUAGGCGG